GUUUAUGUAGCUUAAAUUCAAAGCAAAGCACUGAAAAUGCUUAGAUGGGUAUUUAUACCCCAUAAACA
rnacentral:tRNA from 1 species